rnacentral:rRNA from 1 species
AUUGAACGCUGGCGGCAGGCCUAACACAUGCAAGUCGAGCGAGCGGCGGACGGGUGCGUAAUGCCUGGGAAUUGCCCAGUCGAGGGGGAUAACAGGUGGACACGACUGCUAAUACCGCAUACGAUCGGAUUGCCCAGGUGGGGUUAGCUGGUUGGUGGGGUAACGGCUCACCAAGGCGACGAUCCCUAGCUGGUCUGAGAGGAUGAUCAGCCACACUGGAACGGAGACACGGUCCAGACUCCUACGGGAGGCAGCAGUGGGGAAUAUUGCACAAUGGGGGAAACCCUGAUGCAGCCAUGCCGCGUGUGUGAAGAAGGCCUUCGGGUUGUAAAGCACUUUUAGCGAGGAGGCGGUAUUCGCAGAAGAAGCACCGGCUAACUCCGUGCCAGCAGCCGCGGUAAUUC